rnacentral:rRNA from 1 species
UGAAUACGAGACGCUAAGGCGUCGAAGUAGUGUAUGUCAUACUUCCAAGAAAAGCUUGCACUGUCAUAGAUAAAAAACGCCUGUACCAUAACCGACACAGGUGGGUAGGUAGAGUAUACUAAGGGGCGCGAGAUAACUCUCUCUAAGGAACUCGGCAAAAUAACUCCGUAACUUCGGGAGAAGGAGUGCCUUACUCUUAAGGUUGCAAUAACAAGAUCCAAGCAACUGUUUAUCAAAAACACAGGUCUCCGCUAAGUCGUAAGACGAUGUAUGGGGGCUGACGCCUGCCCAGUGCCAGAAGGUUAAAGAAGCUGGUUAGCAUUUGCGAAGCUAGUAACUGAAGCCCUGGUGAACGGCGGCCGUAACAAUAACGGUUCUAAGGUAGCGAAAUUCCUUGUCGGGUAAGUUCCGACCCGCACGAAAGGCGUAAUGAUUUGGAUACUGUCUCGGAGAGGGGCUCGGUGAAAUAGACUUGUCUGUGAAGAUGCGGACUACCUGCACCAGGACAGAAAGACCCUAUGAAGCUUUACUGUAACUUGAGAUUGAAAUUGGACUUUAUUCGCGCAGUAUAGGUGGGAGGCGUUGAUUAUAAUCUUGCGGGAUUAUUGGAGCCAUUAGUGAGAUACCACUCUUGUAAUGUUAGAUUUCUAACUUUGAAUCAUUAUCUGGUCAAAGAACAGUUUCAGGCGGGCAGUUUGACUGGGGCGGUCGCCUCCUAAACGGUAACGGAGGCGUACAAAGGUUUCCUCUGAACGGUUAGAAAUCGUAUCUAGAGUGUAAAGGCAUAAGGAAGCUUGACUGUGAGACCUACAAGUCGAGCAGGGACGAAAGUCGGUCUUAGUGAUCUGACGGUACUGAGUGGAAAGGCCGUCACUCAACGGAUAAAAGUUACUCUAAGGAUAACAGGCUGAUCUCCCCCAAGAGUUCACAUCGACGGGGAGGUUUGGCACCUCGAUGUCGGCUCAUCGCAUCCUGGGGCGGUAGUACGUCCCAAGGGUUGGGCUGUUCGCCCAUGAAAGCGGUACGCGAGCUGGGUUCAGAACGUCGUGAGACAGUUCGGUCCAUAUCCGGUGUAGGCGUUAGAAUAUUGAGAGGAGCCUUCUUUAGUACGAGAGGACCGAGAAGGACAUACCUCUGGUGUACCAGUUAUCGUGCCAACGGUAAACGCUGGGUAGCUAUGUAUGGAGUGGAUAACCGCUGAAAGCAUCUAAGUGGGAAGCCCACCUCAAGAUAAG